CCGGCGCACGGGUGCGUAACGCGUAUGCAACCUACCAUCAACAGGGGGAUAACACUGAGAAAUUGGUACUAAUACCCCAUAAUAUCUCAUGCGGCAUCGCAUAGGGUUGAAAACUCCGGUGGUUGAUGAUGGGCAUGCGUUGUAUUAGCUGGUUGGUGAGGUAACGGCUCACCAAGGCGACGAUACAUAGGGGGACUGAGAGGUUAACCCCCCACAUUGGUACUGAGACACGGACCAAACUCCUACGGGAGGCAGCAG
rnacentral:rRNA from 1 species